GACGAACGCUGGCGGCGUGCUUAACACAUGCAAGUCGAACGAAGUGGCGAACGGGUGAGUAAUACGUGGGUAACCUGCCCUCCUUUUUGGGAUAAGCCUUGGAAACGGGGUCUAAUACCGAAUAAAGGGGGAUGGGCUCGCGGCCUAUCAGCUGGUUGGUGGGGUGAUGGCCUACCAAGGCGGUGACGGGUAGCCGGCCUGAGAGGGUGAACGGCGACAGUGGGACGGAGAUAAGGCCCAGGCGAGUCCGGAGGGGAGAAGUGGGGGAAAUUGCAGAAUGGGUGAAAGACUCAUGCCGCGAGGAGGCGGGGGGGAUGAAGGCUGUAGGGUUGUAAACGUAGAUAGGAAGCGAAAGGGUAGGUGGAGAAGAAGCGCCGGCUAACUACGUGCCAGCAGCCGCGGUAAUUC
rnacentral:rRNA from 1 species